UGGGAAGACUUGCUCUCUGGAUCUCAC
rnacentral:piRNA from 1 species